UGAUGGCAGCUUCAGCACUAUCAGCAUCAAUUGUGGAUAACAACUGACCCAAACGCUCGCUUAAAUCAUCAACCUCUCUGUAAUUGAAUUUAUUAUAGCGGUCAAUGCAAAGGGUUUGAAUUGAAGUGUAUGGAAGAGAUGGAUGUGCAUAGAAUUUGGAAUUGUUUGGAGCUUAGUCCAUAAUAUACGGAAUGUACCUUGUCGGAGCGCCUAUUGCGAAUCUCUGGAACAAGUUGGCGCAACUUGGAAACAAGCUGGAUGAUUUGAUCGUCGGA